AGACCCGCCCUUCCCCCACCCACCCUGCCGCCCGCCCCCUCCCCACGCGCGCACACGCCGGGGCCGCGGCCGCUGCGCGCGCCUCUCCCGCGCCGGCAGCAUGAGCGGCUUCCCCUAGCCGCCGGUCGCGCCGCGUCCCGGCCCCUCUCCGCCGCCGGGUCGCGCCCCGUGCUGGAGCCGGACCCCGUCGGAUGCUCGCGUCCCCCCUGUGCUGAGGAUGCUGAAGAUGAAGCUGCCGCUGAAGCAGACGAGUCAUAAGGCGGCGGCGGUGGAAGAGGCGGCGGUGGCAGCAGCAUCAGCUGCCGCCGCCGCGGGGCUGGGACUGAAGGAGCCUGGCGGUGCCCUGGACUGUCAUCUCCAACUGCAGCAGGUGCCCCGGGCUCCGGCCCGCGGGGGCGCCGCUGCAGGGAGGGGGUGCGGGCUGGAAAGGCCGAGCCAGCUGCACGGCUUAGGGCCAGGGCCUGGGCCUGGGCCUGGCCCGCCGCCCCCCCCCGCCGCGCUCACUGCUCCGGGCGGCGGCGGGCCCGGCGCGGCGGCGGCCCGUACCGACAAGGAGACCGUGUACGAGUGGUUUGGGCUGGUGCUGGGCUCGGCGCAGCGGCUGGAGUUCAUGGUGGGGCUUCUAGACCUGUGCAACCCGUUGGAGCUACGGUUCCUGGGCUCCUGCCUGGAAGACCUGGCCCGCAAGGACUACCAUUGCCUCCGCGAUUCGGAGGCGAAGGCCAACGGGCUCAGCGACCCCGGACAGCUCGGCGACUUCCGUGACCCAGCUGUGCGCUCCAAGCUCAUCGUCUACCUGGCCCUCCUGGGCUCCGAGAACCGCGAGGCCGCCGGCCGCCUCCACCGCCUCCUGCCCCAGGUAGAUUCCAUCCUGCAGAGCUGCCCGGCGCGGCGGCCCCAAGUGGGCGCUGCCGAGGAGGAGGGGGCCGAGGAGGAGGACAUGGUGGUGAUGAUGGACGGAGCUGGAGAAAACGGGCAGGCCAGCCUCCCCGCCGCCCACGGCCUGGGUUUCGGCGCGCAGGAGGAACUGCUCCUGCUCUUCACCAUGGCUUCACUGCACCCGGCCUUUUCGUUUCACCAGCGGGUCACCCUGCGGGAGCACCUCGAGCGGCUUCGAAGGGCCUUAUGCGGAGACCAGGAAGAGGAAGGCUUCGGUCGCCACCCAGCCCAGAAUGACUUCUCCCGUAGUGACUGCAUGUCAGGUAAUGAGACCAGUUUGAUAGAACGAACCACAGCACCUCAUGAUGGAGUACCAAUGGCUUCCCAUAGACCUCAGCGAGAAGCAGUACACAUUGAGAAGAUAACCCUGAAAGGAGUACCAAGAAAAAGGGCUGACAAACAUUUGGAGUACACAUUCAAAGUAAUCUGGUCUGAUCUUUCGGUUACAUGUGUAACAAAAACACAUCAGGAGCUUCAGGAAUUCCUGCUAAAACUCCCAAAGGAACUGUCUUCUGAAGCAUUUGACAAGACUAUCUUAAGAGCACUAAAUCAGGGUUUUCAGAAGAGGGAAGAGCGAAGGCAUGCUGAUCUUGAGCCCGUAAUCAGGCAGCUAUUUUCAAAUACAUCGCAAGCAUUUCUGCAGAAUCAGAGAGUAUACAACUUCUUCCAAUCAAUAUCAUCAGAAUCUUUGCACACUCACAGUAACUUACAACCCUCUUUGAAGACGGUUAAAGCACCAGAACACUUCAAGGAGGACAGUUCAGAAGCUUCAAGUCAGGAGGAAGAUGUAAUGCAACACACAGCAGUUCACAAGAAACAUAAUGGAAAAAGUCCUGUUGCCAACAGCACUAGCAGUGCAAAAUGUUCUUCACUGGAUAGCCUUAACAUACAGCACUCUGAACAAAAUGGGGUCAUGGACUGGAGAAGAAAAAGCUGUAUUGUCCAGCAGCACCCAGAGCACUGUACAAACCUCCUCGAUCAGCAUACAGCAGAAAAACGAAGUCUGUCUACAGUAAACAAGAAGAAAGGAAAACCACAGCUGGAAAAGGAGAAAACAAAGAAAACUGACAGCCGGUUGAGUAACAGGACGAACGGAGUGAGAGUUGCGGCGUCACAGCACAUCCAUACAGGAACAGCAAAAGAUCUGAAUUUGGACACUGGAUCUGGUCACGAUACAUGUGGAGAAACGUCAUCUGAAAGUUACAGUUCUCCUUCUAGUCCACGACAUGAUGGGAGGGAAAGCUUUGACAGUGAAGAAGAAAAAGACCGAGACACAGACAGCAAUUCCGAGGACUCCGGGAAUCAAAACACAACCAGGUUUACAGGCUACAGUGCUGUCAGUUCAUCCAAUAUAAACAAAUCCUCUGCCCAGAUCUCUUCAGUGAAUAAUGAAAACGGAAGCCUUUCAGAAGAUCCUUUGAAUGCAAAGUUUCAACAUAUAUCCUUCAUGCCUGCCUUACACUGUGUGAUGCACAACGCUGCCCAAAAGCCUGAAGCAGUUGUCCCGCCACCCAUCUCUGCAGAUGGUAAAGCAAUGGGAAUGCUUGUUACCACCCCUGUUGCUGUCUCACCAGUGAGAGAGUCUGCAAAUUCGCCUCCCGGUGGAAUGGGCCCAGUGACCUCUGGUGAACCCGAGAAACGCCUUGAGCUGAUGGCUUCCCCUUUGCCAGUCCCAUCCACUUUCCUUCCACAUUCUGUCCAGCCUGGUAGCCCUGCUUUGCAUUUGGCAAUACACAGAUUGAAAAUGCCCUCUCCACAGGGAUCAUCAGAAAGUUGCACAGUUAAUGGACCACAGCAGCCGACAGGAAACUUAAGUAUUGGAUCACCAAAUACUGCCUUUAUCCCAGUCCACAAUCCAGGUAGUUUCCCAGGAUCCCCAGUUCCUACUACAGAUCCCAUCACAAAACCUGCAUCCCAGGUGGUAGGACUGAAUCAAAUGGUGCCUCAUAUUGAGGGAAACCCAGGAGCAAUCCCUCAGCCUACCAAUCUGAAGGUAGUUCUUCCAGCAGCUGGUCUCUCCACAGCAGCGCCGCCACCUCCACCAGCCUCAUACACUUUGCCAGGCAGUCCUCAUGCUACCAGUGUGUUGCCCAACCAGAAUACAAACGUGCUAAACACUGUAGCAACUUCCUCACCACCUCAGUCAGCUGGUUUAGGUGUUGGUCAGGUCCAGUCCACUGUUCCUCCUGCAAUACCUACACACACGCCAGGUCCCGCCCCCAGCCCGAGCCCCGCUUUAACACACAGCACUGCACAGAGCGACAGCACAUCCUACAUAAAUGCUGUUGGAAAUAAUAACACUAACGGGACAAUGUUACCUCCGCAGCAGUUGGCCUCUGGUCCUUGUGGCUCUUGCGGACGUAGAUGUAGCUGUGGGACCAAUGGAAGCCUUCAAAUUAAUAGCUAUUUUUAUCAUAACCCACUUCAUGGACAAGUCUACAGAGUUCCAUCUUUCUUCACUCUGCCAUCACUUUGCAAUGGCAGCUACCUCAAUCAAGCACAUCAAAGCAAUGGAACACAACUUCCUUUCUUCCUGCCUCAGUCUCCAUAUGCAAAUGGGCUUAUGCAUGACCCAGUGAUGGGGAGCCAAGCCAACUAUGGUAUGCAGCAGAUGGCAGGAUUUGGGAGGUUCUAUCCCGUAUAUCCAGCACCUAACGUAGUUGCCAACACAAAUGGGUCAGGACCCAAGAAGAAUGGGAACGUUUCGUGUUACAAUUGUGGUGUGAGUGGACACUAUGCGCAGGACUGUAAGCAGUCAUCCAUGGAGGCCAGUCAACAAGGCACUUACAGACUGAGAUACGCACCUCCCCCUCCCCCUUCCAAUGAUACCUUGGAUUCUGCAGACUGAAACAAGUAAACAUUGCCUACUUAAACUGAAGCUUGGGAAAUUGGGGGAAGGUAUUUUUGGACCACUUGAAAUGAAUGAACUGCGUUUGAGUUGAAGUGAGGGUGUUAAACCACCAAUGGAUUUGUAUUGUGAAUUACCUGCCAGUUGUACUUUAUGGAACUUAUUUUAUGAUUUAAAAUACUGUACUGUAAAUAGGAGGUAUGUUACCUUCUCUUUAUUUGUAUGUUUACCAUAUACUUUGAUAUUUGAAAUGUACUGGAAAGGUCACUUAUAUUUCUAGAAGAGAUUGGAUUUUAUGCAACCUUUUUCCUUGAAUUAACAGCAAUAAAAAAAAAAAAGGUCCCUGUGUGCAA